rnacentral:rRNA from 1 species
AGUAGCCGCGGUAAUUCCAGCUCCAAUAGCGUAUAUUAAAGUUGUUGCAGUUAAAAAGCUCGUAGUUGAAUUUCGGGGUCAGUAGAUUGGUCGUGCCACUGGUAUGUACUGGUCUCACUGGCUCCUCCUUCCUGAUGAACCGUAAUGCCAUUAAUUUGGUGUUGCGGGGAGACUGGACUGUUACUUUGAAAAAAUUAGAGUGUUUAAAGCAGGCUAACGCUUGAAUACAUUAGCAUGGAAUAAUGAAAUAGGACGUUCGAUCUUAUUUUGUUGGUUUCUAAGAUUGACGUAAUGAUUAAUAGGGAUAGUUGGGGGCAUUAGUAUUCAAUUGUCAGAGGUGAAAUUCUUGGAUUUAU